rnacentral:sRNA from 1 species
CAGAUUUUAGCUAAUAUAGAGGGCAGUUUGAUUAUAACAUACAAAUUUAAUUUGAAUGUGUUAUUAUACUAUAGAUACAUAUAAUUGGCUUCUAUGGGUUAUCUUUGUAUUGUAUAGUUGUAGGUUCCCUAUAAUUGUAUUUUUCAUUUUAUGUACAACUCAGUUUGACAGAUGACAACUGUCAUUAAUUGACUUGUAUAUAUAAACUGUCAUUAAUUGACUUGUAUAUAUAAACUGCUGUACAUAUCAUUCAGUUAGUGAUGAUGUUAUUACAAAUAAGUCCAGUUCAUUGUUAUUUCUCUUUCUUCUUUUUCUUCACUUCAUCGAAGAUGGUAUCUAGAGCAACUUUUUCAUUGAUCCAAAUUCUUCUAGCUCCGCUUCCAGUUUCUCAUGAACAUCGUUGUUGUUCAUCUAGCUCCGCUUCCACUUGUUGAGUUGAUUGGUGAUUUGUUCAAAUUAAAAUUUGUUCUUCAUUCGUGUGUUCUGUCUCAUUUUCGCUUUAGCCUAGUUUCUCUUCAACAAAUUAUUCCAAUUUUGAUUUGUGUUGAGCUUUGAUCUCUUAGUUGCGUUUCAAUGGUGAAUUGUAAUCACUCUUGGUUUCUACACUGUUCUAUCGGUAUUUGUCUUGACCUAGUUCAUCAUCGUUUCUCUAUUGUUUAAUUGUUGAAUUGCUCGUUCUUCCUUUUCCUCUUCGUGCAACUGUACUUCUUGAAUAUAGUAAAACUAGGUAUAGGAUUAAUCUCCCUCGUGUCUAAAACACACAUAGGAUAAUAUAUUUAUAAUGAAGAAUGAUACAAGUAUA